UUAAUUAAUUUAUUUGUUUAUUUAUUUUUGCAGGCAGUGGUGAGCCAUGGAAGGUUUCUGAACAGAGCACUUAUUGGGAGCUGUCAGAGCUGUGCUUCAGGAGAUGAAUCUGGCAACAACGUGGGUGUUGGAUGCGUGCCUUGCGUUAGGCACUGUACUAGGUGCUGCAGUAGGAAGAAGAGAUCUUUGUCCAGAGAGGGAGAAAGACAUGAUGAAUCACAAGUGGAUGAGCCAGAGGAUUCUCGGUAUGUCCCAGGUUCUCUGGGCUGCCGGGGAGGGAGAAACAAUGGAGAGGAUGUAUGGAGGUCAGAAGGCAGCCAGGUCCUGAAGACCAGGUGCACACACAGAUGCAGGACCAGCCUCGAAGCCCACUUUUUCCACCAUGCCCCACUCACCAGUAUGUGCUCUAGACCCUAUCUCAAAACCAGAGUUCAGAGACCUCCUCCCACCUCCACUGCCACCACUCUGGCCCCAGCCUCCUUCUUCUGUCUGGUGACUGCAGUAGCCUUUCCACAGAGCUUCCUGCUUCUACUCUCAUGCAUUUGCAGUGUAUUCUCUGUAUGACAGUGAGAAUGAUCUGGUUUUAAAUAUGUAUUUUAUUUUUAGUAGGUAAUACAUGCCUUUUAUAGAAAAUAAAAUGAUUUUUUAAAACUCUAAAUAAUCAGAAACAGAUCGUGUCACUCUUCUAUUUAGGAUCUACCCAGUGGUUUCUCACCUGCUUAGAACAUAAACCAAAUCUCCUGCCUGGUCUGCAAAGCCCCACUGUCCUGGGUUCGUCUGCCUUUCUGACCUUGCCUUGCACCACUUGCCCCGCCCUGGAUAUGGACCUGUCUCUUCCUCAAACAGGCCAGUCUCCUUCUCAUCUUCUAUGGCCUUGCAUGUGCUGUUCCUGCUGCCUGGAAUGCUCUUCCCCAGACCCCCGCUUGGCUGUUACUUCUUGUCAAUCAGAGCUCAGCUUAAUGUCAUCGCUUCAGGGAGGCCUUCCCUGAUGAAUAAUCUAAAGUGGUCACCAGACACUCUAUCCUAUCAUUGCAUUUGUAAAAAUAGCUUUAUUGAGGUAUAACUGACACACAGUAAACAGACGUAUAACACUCCAUUGGAGACAUUUUGAAAUAUGCAUAUACCUGUGACCAUCACCACGAUCAAGAUAGCAAGCAUAGCCAUCACCCCCAAAUGUUUCUUCAUCCAUCUUUGUAAUCCCUCCCUUUCUCUCCACCCACCACCCCCCACAACCACUGAUCUGCCUUCUGUCACUAUAGAUUAGUUUGCAUUUAAUAGAAUUUCAUAUAAAUGGAAUUGUACAAGAUGUCCUCUUUAUUUUGGAGGGUCUGGCUUUUUUCACUCGGCACAGUAGAGAUUUAUCCAUGCUGUAUGUGUUGACGGUUUAUUCCUUUACGUCUCUGAGUAGCACUCCAUUAUAUGGACAUGCCACCGUUUUGUUUAUCCACAUUCACUAGCUGAUGAACAUUGGGGUUGUUUCCAGGUUUGGCUGUUAUAUGUAAGGCUGCAUGAACAUUUGUGUACAAGUUGGUUCUCUUUGGUAAAUACCUAGGAGUGGAAGGGCUGUGUUAUACUUAACUUUUUUUAAAAAUUGUGUUUUUUGAGACAGGGUCUCACUCUGUCUCCCAGGCUGGAGUGCAGUGGUGCCAUCUCAGCUCACUACAGCCUCCGCCUCCCUGGCUCAAAUGAUUCUCCUGCCUCAGCCUCCUGAGGGACUAUAGGCAUGCCCCACCACAUCCAGCUAAUUUUUGUAUUUUUGGUAGAGACAGGAUUUCGCCAUGUUGGCCAGGCUGGUCUCGAACUCCUGACCUCAAGUGAUCUGCUUGCCUGGCCUCCCAAAGUUCUGGGAUUACAGGUGUGAGUCACCACACCCGGCCCAUACUUAACUUUUUAAGAAACUUGCCUGUAGUGUUUUCCAAAGUGGUUGUACUAUUUUACUUUCCCUCCAGCAUCCCUAUAUGUAUGAGAAUUCCCAUUCCUCCACAUGCUUGACAAGAAUUGGUAUGGUCAGUCUUUUUAUCUUUAGCUAUUCUAAUGGCUGUGUAGUGAUUGCUCAUUGUGGUUUUAAUUUGCAUUUCCCUAAUGACUAAUAAUGUUAAGGAUCUUUUCAUUUGCUUCUUUGCCAUUUGUAUAUCUUCUUUAGUGAAAUGUCUCUUUAAAUAUCUUGCCUGCCUGUGUGAAACUGUUUGAUUUCUUACUAUUGAGUUGUAGGACAUACUUUUAAUAUUUUAGGUACGAGUCUUUGAUCAGAUAUGUGAUUUGCAAAUAUUUUCUUCAGUCUCUGGUGUGUCUUUUCAUUCUCUUAAUAGUGUCUUUCAAAGAAACGAAGUUCUUAAUUUUCUUGAAGUCUAAUUUAUCAAUUUCUUCCUUUAUAGAUUGUGCUUUGGUGUUGUAUCUGAAAAAUCUUUGCCUAACUCAUGGUCAUGAAGAUUUUCUUCUAGAAUUUAUAUAGUUUUAGUUUCAGGAUUUACAUUUACAUAUAUGAUCCAUUUUGAAUUAACUUUUGUAUUUUGCAUUUAUUGCACAAAACAGUUUUGCAUUAUGAAUAUAUGGUAUGCUAUAUGGAUAGUUCUUUUUUGCAUAUGAUGGCCAAUUAUUCCAGCACCAUUUGUUGAAAGGUUGUCCUUUCUUUACUACAUUGCCUUUGUACCUUUGUAAACAGCAAUUGACCAGACAGGUAUGAGCCUAUUUCUGGUCUUUCUAUUCUGUUCCAUGAACCUGUCUGUCUGUCUUGAUGCCAAUACCACAAUACUGUAGUUACUGUAGCUUUCUAAUAAGCCUUGAAGUCAGGUAGUAUGAGUCCUCUAACUUUGUUCUUUUUCACAGUUGUUUUGGUACCUCUAGGUUUUUUGGAUUUCCAUAUGAAUUUUAGAAUCAGACUGUCAAUUUCAAUUAAAAAUCCUGCUGGGAUUUUGCUUUGGGAUUGCAUUGAAUUUGUAGAUCAAUUUGGAUGAAAUUGAUGUUCUCACAAUAUUGAGUCUUUUGAUCCAUUAACACAGUAUAUCUCUGUUUUUAUUUCGGUUUUCUUUAAUUUCUGCAAUAUUUUGUAAUUUUCAGUGUACCUGUUUUGCACAUCUUUGGUCAGAUUUAUCCCUAAGUAUUUCAUACUUCAUGAUGCUAUUGUAAAAGAUAUUUUUUAAAGUUUCAAUUUUCAAGUGGUUGGUGAUGAAAUACAAUUGAUAGGUGUAUUACUGGGCCUGUAUCCUGCAACCUUGCUACACUUGCUUAUUAGUUUUGUGGAUUCUAUUUGAUUUUCUUUAGUUUCCUUUUUUUUUGUAGCCCCACUCCCACCCACUAUUGGAUUUUCUACACAGAUUCUCCUGCCAACUGUCAAUGAAGAUAAUUUUACUUCUUUCUUUCUAAUCUGGAUACCUUUGAUUUCUUUUUAUUGCCUUAUUGCACUGGCUAAAAUCUCUAGCACAUUGUUAAAUAGAAGUGGUGAGAGCAGAUAUCCUUGCCUUGUUCCUGAUCUUAGGGGGAAAGCAGUCAGUCUUUCACCAUUAGAUAUGAUGUUAACUGUACUUUAAAAGGACAUAGAUGCUUUUUAUUGGUUUAAGGAAAUUUCUUUCUAUUCCUAGUUUGCUCAGAGUUUUUUUUUUUUAAAUCAGAAAUAGAUGUUGGAUUUUGUCAAAUGCUGUUUCUGCAUCUAUUGAGGUGAUAAUAUGGUUUUUCUUUUGUAAUCUAUUAAAAUGGCAAGUUAUGUUAUGGACUUUUUUAAAGAGAUGGGUCUUACUGUGGUGCCUGGGCUGGAGUGCAGUGGCUAUUCACAGGCACAGUCAUAGUGCAUUACAGCCCUAAACUCCUGGACUUGAGUGAUCCUCCUGUCUCAGCCUGCUGAGCAGCUGGUAUUACAGGCAUGCAACACCACACCCAGUUAAAUGAUUGAUUUUUGAAUGUUAAAUCAAUUUUGCAGUCCUGAGAUAUACCCUAUUUGGUUAUGAUGUAUUAUCUUUUUAUAUGUUGUUGAGUUGUAUUUGAUAAAAUUUGGUUUAGAACUUUCGCAUCUAUGUUUAUAAGGGAUAUCAGUCCAUCAUCUUCUUGCAUCCUUUGUCUGGUUUUGUGUCAGAGUAAUGUUGGUCUCAUAAAAUGAGUUUUUAAGUAGUUCCUCCUCUUUAAUUUUCUAGAAGUGUUUGUGUAGAUUUGGUAUUAUUUCUUCCUCAAAUGUUUGUUAGAAUUCACCAGUGAAACCAUCUGAGUCUGAGGUUUUCUUCAUGGGAAGAUUUUAAGCGACAAUUUCAAUUUGUUUAAUAGAUAUAGGACAAUUCAGCUUAUUUUUUUCUUCUUGAGUGAACUUUGGCAGUUUACCAUCACACUAUUAUAAAUUAUUUGCACAGCCCUUUGUAUUAUCUGACAAAUUCUUGUUUUCUUAAUUAAUUACUUUUUAUGUGUUGCUCUCCUAAGAUUGAAUUCCAGAAGAACAGACACUGUCAGGUUUAUCUUUGCAUCUAGCACAGACUAUGAGCUCAAUGUAUAAUUGUGGAGUGAAUAGAGGCUAUUUUAAUCUUUCUGAGAAUACAGAAACGUGGAUGUUCUCAGGUUAUGCCUGUGAAAGCUGAGGCUUCGAGAGAGAGGUUAAGUAAAUUGCCCAGUACCGGAUGACCUAUGAAGUGGGUCAAACCCAUGAUCUUGCUUGUACAUGGUUUUCCCUCUUGUUAAGUAUUUACUUGGUAGCAAAGUAUGAGAGUGAUGGCUGCAGAGAAACUAGACAGGGCUCUCAAGCUUUAGUGUGCAUGAGGCUUACUUGGAGCAUUUAUUAAAUGGGCCAGGAAUCUGUAUCUUUGACAUGGCCCCUAGAAGAGUUUGAUGUACAUCAUCAAGAGACCACACUUUAGGAAGCUCUGACCCAGCCUGUGCAAAAUGCAGGGGAAGGGGAAAUGCCCCUCUGUUCAGAGAGGGAAUGGACAUGGUAUGGAUGGGCCUAGGGUCACUGUAGGGGGUGGCUAUGAAUUCAGGACCUCAGCCUGAGGUGGGGCAUUAGAAGACAUGUGCAAACAAGCCCCAAGGGCACUAAAUCAGCCCCAGGAAGUUCUUUUUCAGGGUCAGUGGCUUAUGAACCAAUUCCUUUCCCCUGUACCCCUGUUUCUCAAGUGGCUGGAGGUAACGCCAGUGCAGUUUCUCCGCUUUUAAUAAAAGAAUAAACUGUAGGGGUCUUUCAAUCUGUCUUUGGUUAAGCUUUCAGAAACCUCACUGCCCCAUCUAGUCCCAUUCCUCACUUCUUAUCUGACUCCAUGGGGAGGUGGGACCAAGAUUGAAAGAAGGAAGGCAGGGAAACAGAAAAGUCCUGGGCUACUUACUAGGGGAAGGUGUAAUUAGUAGCUGUCUCUCUUAGGGGCUGGGGGACAGCAGCCCUCUUGCCAUAUUCAGUUGAUGGGGGAGUGGGUAGAUGAAGAGACUCUGGGCCCUGGGAACUGUGCAUAGGUCUCCUCACCUCCAGAAGUUUGUCCUGCUCACCCUCAGCCUGUGUGAAUCAGUGAAGGAGUUGGGCUCCACAUAGGAGGAAGGGCGAGGGCUGGGGGAGAUGCUUGGAUAAGGGGAUAGG
rnacentral:lncRNA from 1 species